rnacentral:rRNA from 1 species
AACGAACGCUGGCGGCAUGCCUAACACAUGCAAGUCGAACGAGAUCUUCGGGUCUAGUGGCGCACGGGUGCGUAACGCGUGGGAAUCUGCCCUCAGGUUCGGAAUAACCAUUGGAAACGAUGGCUAAUACCGGAUGAUGACGUUAAGUCCAAAGAUUUAUCGCCUGAGGAUGAGCCCGCGUAGGAUUAGCUAGUUGGUGUGGUAAAGGCGCACCAAGGCGACGAUCCUUAGCUGGUCUGAGAGGAUGAUCAGCCACACUGGGACUGGGACACGGCCCAGACUCCUACGGGAGGCAGCAGUGGGGAAUAUUGGACAAUGGGCGAAAGCCUGAUCCAGCAAUGCCGCGUGAGUGAUGAAGGCCUUAGGGUUGUAAAGCUCUUUUACCCGGGAUGAUAAUGACAGUACCGGGAGAAUAAGCUCCGGCUAACUCCGUG